rnacentral:rRNA from 1 species
UGGGGAAUAUUGCACAAUGGACGGAAGUUUGAUGCAGCGACGCCGCGUGGAGGGUGUAGGCCUUCGGGUUGUGAACUCCUUUUUCUCGCGAAAAAGGCACAGUUUUGGCUGUGUUGAUGGUAGUGGGGGAAAAAGCCCCGGCUAACUACGUGCCAGCAGCCGCGGUAAUACGUAGGGGGCUAGCGUUGUCCGGAAUCACUGGGCGUAAAGGGUUCGCAGGCGGAAAUGCAAGUCAGGUGUAAAAGGCAGUAGCUUAACUACUGUAAGCAUUUGAAACUGCAUAUCUUGAGAAGAGUAGAGGUAAGUGGAAUUUUUAGUGUAGCGGUGAAAUGCGUAGAUAUUAAAAAGAAUACCGGUGGCGAAGGCGACUUACUGGGCUCAUUCUGACGCUGAGGAACGAAAGCGUGGGUAGCAAACAGG